AUAAGGGCGCACGGUGGAUGCCUUGGCACUAGGAGCCGAUGAAGGACGGGACUAACACCGAUAUGCUUUGGGGAGCUGUACGUAAGCUAUGAUCCAGAGAUUUCCGAAUGGGGGAACCCAACAUCUUUAAUAGGAUGUUACGAUUGUGUGAAUACAUAGCACAUUCGAGGUAGACGCAGAGAACUGAAACAUCUAAGUACCUGCAGGAAGAGAAAGAAAAUUCGAUUCCCUGAGUAGCGGCGAGCGAAACGGGAAAAGCCCAAACCAGCAAGCUUGCUUGUUGGGGUUGUAGGACUCCAAUAUGGUAGUUCUUUCAGAUAGUCGAAUGACUUGGAAAAGUCAGUCAAAGAGGGUAAAAACCCCGUAGACGAAAUGUGGAAGACACCUAGGAGGAUCCUGAGUACGGCGGAACACGAGAAAUUCCGUCGGAAUCCGGGAGGACCAUCUCCCAAGGCUAAAUACUCCCUAGUGACCGAUAGUGAACCAGUACCGUGAGGGAAAGGUGAAAAGCACCCCGGAAGGGGAGUGAAAUAGAACCUGAAACCGUGUGCCUACAACAAGUCAAAGCCCGUUAAUGGGUGAUGGCGUGCCUUUUGUAGAAUGAACCGGCGAGUUACGAUUGCAUGCGAGGUUAAGUUGAAGAGACGGAGCCGCAGCGAAAGCGAGUCUGAAUAGGGCGUUUGAGUAUGUAGUCGUAGACCCGAAACCAUGUGAUCUACCCAUGUCCAGGUUGAAGGUGCGGUAAAACGCACUGGAGGACCGAACCCACGUACGUUGAAAAGUGCGGGGAUGAGGUGUGGGUAGCGGAGAAAUUCCAAACGAACUUGGAGAUAGCUGGUUCUCUCCGAAAUAGCUUUAGGGCUAGCCUCGGAAUUGAGAAUGAUGGAGGUAGAGCACUGUUUGGACUAGGGGCCCAUCUCGGG
rnacentral:rRNA from 1 species